CCAGACUCCUACGGGAGGCAGCAGUGGGGAAUAUUGCACAAUGGGGGAAACCCUGAUGCAGCAACGCCGCGUGAGUGAAGAAGUAUUUCGGUAUGUAAAGCUCUAUCAGCAGGGAAGAAGAAAGACGGUACCUGACUAAGAAGCCCCGGCUAACUACGUGCCAGCAGCCGCGGUAAUACGUAGGGGGCAAGCGUUAUCCGGAUUUACUGGGUGUAAAGGGAGCGUAGACGGCUGUGCAAGUCUGAAGUGAAAGCCCGUGGCUCAACCGCGGAACUGCUUUGGAAACUGUGCGGCUGGAGUGCAGGAGGGGUAAGCGGAAUUCCUAGUGUAGCGGUGAAAUGCGUAGAUAUUAGGAGGAACACCGGUGGCGAAGGCGGCUUACUGGACUGUAACUGACGUUGAGGCUCGAAAGCGUGGGGAGCAAACAGGAUUAGAUACCCCGGUAU
rnacentral:rRNA from 1 species